CUGCUGGUUUCUUUAAAACUUCGGAAGUUUUCCAAGGCCUAAGAGUAUGAAGAAACCCUACUCCGGAACAAUUACAAGAAUGGGAUCUACACUGUCAAGUCUGCCUAUCUUUUGUAAUUAAGGUGGAUCAAGCUUGAUCAAUCUUUCCCUGUACAUAUGGCUUUGCACUGCCUUAGUGCCUUUCAUUAGUAUAAUUCUUUUACCAGUCUCAAAAGAAAAUACCCAACUUAUGAUGAUGAAAGGGGCAGUUGCAUACUAACAUAUAUUGAAGUUCUGAGCGAUUAGCAAAGCACUAAUAUUAAGAUAAGAAAAAGGUAAUUUAUCUAAAGUUUAAACAAAAGAAAACGAGGGUCGGGUUAACACCGAAAAUAAGAUGAUUUGAGGUUUUGAGCGCCCUUUUUUCCAUCUUAGAUCAAGCAUAAAUGCAGAGACAAAGAGCAAAUAAAUAUACUGGUAACAAAAAGGGAAGGCAAGAUAGGAGUUAACCCACAUCAUGGAACCUCUAUAUCUGUAGUAAUCUAUCUAUAUAAGCCCCGAGAAUGAUCACAAAUGUCACCUUAAUUGUCAUAACGUUCGCAAGGAAAACCAGAAAAUCUUAGGCGAAGGAGAGAGACCGAGAAGGCAAAGAUUGUAGAGAUCCGUAAACAAAUUCAAUGAACAUACCUUGUGAAAAUUGAAGAUUAAAUCCAGCUCACAGACCUGAAGGGAAAGAAAGCCAGCAACAUAAAUAUAAAACAGAAUAAGAAGUAAUACAGUCAAACCUCUCUAUAACAACCAUGUAUGUUCCAAUAUUUUUUGGCUGUUAAAAAAAUGUUGUUAUAAAGGACAUAUAUUAUAACAUAAUAUAGAAUCGGUUCCGAGAAAAACUUGUCUUUUCUAGUGAACGGCUAUAAUAUAGGAAAUUUGUUAUAGAGAGGUCUAACUAUAUCAUCUUAGUAGCUUUACCCAAUCAAAAUGCAAUUCAGAAACUCAAUCAAAAAAAGUUGCUUUAAAGUUUGAGAGCCUUACACUU
rnacentral:lncRNA from 1 species